rnacentral:rRNA from 1 species
GACAGAGGGUGCAAGCGUUGUUCGGAAUUAUUGGGCGUAAAGGGCGCGUAGGCGGCCAGGCAAGUCGGAUGUGAAAUCUCUGGGCUCAACCCAGAAAGUGCAUCCGAAACUGCUUAGCUUGAGUCCCGGAGAGGGUGGUGGAAUUCCCAGUGUAGAGGUGAAAUUCGUAGAUAUUGGGAGGAACACCGGUGGCGAAGGCGACCACCUGGACGGAGACUGACGCUGAGGCGCGAAAGCGUGGGGAGCAAACAGG